UGAGGUAACCGUAAGGAGCCAGCGGCCGAAGGUGGGAUUAGUGAUUGGGGUGAAGUCGUAACAAGGUAGCCGUAGGAGAACCUGCGGCUGGAUCACCUCCUUUCUAAGGAGA
rnacentral:rRNA from 1 species